rnacentral:lncRNA from 1 species
GCCCUCUGGAGCCACAUGGACCAAACCUCUUUGCCUCCACCUUGAUUUCCAUGGAGGGAAGGUGGGAGAGAGUGUGGGGCUCAGAGUGUGGGCGGUGGGUGCUGCUACCCUGGCAUGCCCUGCUGCCCUCUGAAGGUCCCUCCUUCCCAGGCCUGGGUGCCAAGAGGGCGCUCCACUGGGCCCUGUGAGAAUGACAAGCUUGAACUGGAUCAAAAGCAAAAGCUGGAGGAGCCACAGCUGCAGCCCUCAGAGCUCACUGUCAGACUGCUGGCCAUUCUCAACCAUUCUCCACCAAGAAGGCUGCAUUCCCUAAGUUGCCUACAGAUCUGGAAGCCUUGCUGAAAAGACACCUUAAUGGCCUAGCAGCUCUCUUAGGCAAGGAGCAAUUCAGAUGUUGAAUGAUGGAACACAAAAACCCACAGCAGACAUGGUGGCUGACGCUUGUAAUCCCAGCAUUUUGCGAGGUUGAGGUAGGGGGACUGCUUGAGCUCAGAAGUUUAAGACCAGCCUAGGUAACAUAGUGAGACCCCAUCCCUACAAAAAAUCAAAAAAUUAGCUGGGCAUGGUGGUGCACAUCUGUAGUCCCAGCUUCCUGGAAGGCCGAGGCAGGAGGAUCUCUUGAGCCCAGCAGGUCAAGCCUGUGGUGAGUUGUAAUUGUGCCACUGCACUCCAACCUGGGUGACA